rnacentral:tRNA from 1 species
AGGGCUAUAGCUCAGUUAGGUAGAGCACCUCGUUUACACAUAAGUUUGAUCUGUUUUACCGAGAAGGUCUACGGUUCGAGUCCGUAUAGCCCUA